UGACAUUAAUGACAGACUUCUGAAUAUCUUUUUCAAAGGAAGCUGUACAGGACAUUGAAAACUAGGGACUCUGUGCUGUGAUUAAAAACUGCAUCAACGUUGUGACUACAAUUAUGAACCAUACUGUAAAGGAAACCUUGUCCUCUGUAUGCUCAGUCAAUUGUUCAUGCUGUGAAGGGGUGGAGUGUAAGGGAACUAACGGUCAUGACCUGAACACCUGCUUCUGAUGGAGCACCUGAUGAAGGGGAGUGGGUAGCCUUGGGAACACAGGUGCAAGCAAUUGCCUGUGCGAUCCCUAACCUCAUUUAAGGGUUCUCAGCCAAGGGAGGAGAUCUCCACUUAAUGAUUGUUUCCUUUGGAAAUUUUUCAGUGAGCUCUUCUUCUUAGAAAUGGGAAUCAUGUGGCUACAGUCAUGUUCUUUUUGACAUGGAAGGAGUUCAGAAGGAUGAAAAGCUGGAAAAACUUCAAAGCUGCCUCAAGAUGAUAGUUGACUGAGAGAAGUGACUUUCCUGGAGUGAUACUGGAUAAAAGAAUUUUUGUUUGGGAUUGCUUGGUUUGUCUUAAGCCAAUGUCUUUCUGCAAUGGGCAAAAUUCUUUGAGUAUGUAUUUCUAAAUUUAUUUUCAUGUUUAUGAACUUGAAAUGCUUGCUUUCCUUUCAAAUGCUUCGCUUCCAUGAAAAAAUCUUUCUAUAAACAAUAAUUUGCAGAAUUCUCUGCCUAAAUGUGAUGAAAGUGGCUGCAGAGAUGG